rnacentral:rRNA from 1 species
AGAGUUUGAUCCUGGCUCAGAACGAACGCUGGCGGCGUGCUUAAGACAUGCAAGUCGAACGAGAAAGUCACCUUCGGGUGGCGAGUACAGUGGCGCACGGGUGAGUAACGCGUGGGUAAUCUGCCUUCGGGUUCGGGACAGCCUCGGGAAACUGGGGCUAAUACCGGAUAAGACCACGGAGUCUCCGGACUCUGCGGAAAAAGGUGGCCUCUUCUUGAAAGCUAUCGCCUGAAGAUGAGCCCGCGUCCCAUUAGCUUGUUGGUGAGGUAACGGCUCACCAAAGCAGCGAUGGGUAGCUGGUCUGAGAGGACGAUCAGCCACACUGGAACUGAGACACGGUCCAGACUCCUACGGGAGGCAGCANUCGGGAAUUUUGGGCAAUGGGGGAAACCCUGACCCAGCAACGCC